ensembl:misc_RNA Metazoa_SRP Metazoan signal recognition particle RNA
GCCGGGUGUGGUGGUGCAUGCCUAUAGUCCCAGCUACUUAGGAGGCUGAGGCAGAAGGAUCACUUGAGGCCAGGAGUUCUGGGCUGCAGUGCACUAUGUUGCCUGGGCAUCUGCACUAAGUUCAGCAUCGAUAUGAUGACCUCCCGGGAGCAGGGGACUACCAGAUUGCCUAAGAAGGGGUAAACUGGCCAAGGUUGGAAACGGAGCAGGUCAAAACUCCCGUGCUGAUCAGUAGUGGGAUCGUGCCUGUGAAUAGCCACUGUACUCCAGCCUGGGCAACACAGCAAGACCCCAUCUCUA